rnacentral:rRNA from 1 species
UACGUAGGGUCCGAGCGUUGUCCGGAAUUAUUGGGCGUAAAGGGCUCGUAGGCGGUUAGUCGCGUCGGGGAGUGAAAACUCAGGGCUCAACCCUGAGCGUGCUUCCGAUACGGGCUGACUAGAGGUAUGCAGGGGAGAACGGAAUUCCUGGUGUAGCGGUGGAAUGCGCAGAUAUCAGGAGGAACACCGGUGGCGAAGGCGGUUCUCUGGGCAUUACCUGACGCUGAGGAGCGAAAGCAUGGGGAGCGAACAGG